rnacentral:rRNA from 1 species
AUUGAACGCUGGCGGCAGGCCUAACACAUGCAAGUCGAACGGUAACAGGAAUACGCUUGCUUCUUUGCUGACGAGUGGCGGACGGGUGAGUAAUGUCUGGGAAACUGCCUGAUGGAGGGAGAUAACUACUGGAAACGGUAGCUAAUACCGCAUACCGUCGCAAGACCAACGAGGGGGACCUUCGGGCCUCUUGCCAUCGGAUGUGCCCAGAUGGGAUUAGCUAGUAGGUGGGGUAACGGCUCACCUAGGCGACGAUCCCUAGCUGGUCUGAGAGGAUGACCAGCCACACUGGAACUGAGACACGGUCCAGACUCCUACGGGAGGCAGCAGUGGGGAAUAUUGCACAAUGGGCGCAAGCCUGAUGCAGCCAUGCCGCGUGUAUGAAGAAGGCCUUCGGGUUGUAAAGUACUUUCAGCGGGGAGGAAGGGAGUAAAGUUAAUACCUUUGCUCAUUGACGUUACCCGCAGAAGAAGCACCGGCUAACUCCGUG